AGUGAACGCUGGCGGUAGGCCUAACACAUGCAAGUCGAACGGCAGCACAGUAAGAGCUUGCUCUUACGGGUGGCGAGUGGCAGACGGGUGAGGAAUACAUCGGAAUCUACUUUUUCGUGGGGGAUAACGUAGGGAAACUUACGCUAAUACCGCAUACGACCUACGGGUGAAAGCAGGGGAUCUUCGGACCUUGCGCGAUUGAAUGAGCCGAUGUCGGAUUAGCUGGUUGGCGGGGUAAAGGCCCACCAAGGCGACGAUCCGUAGCUGGUCUGAGAGGAUGAUCAGCCACACUGGAACUGAGACACGGUCCAGAGUCCUACGGGAGGCACCAGUGUGCAAUAUUGGACAAUGGGCGCAAGCCUGAUCCAGCCAUCCCGCGUGGGUGAAGAAGGCGUUCGGGUUGUCAAGCCCUUUUGUGGGGAAAGAAAAGCAGCAGGUUAAUACCCCGCUGUUCUGACGGUACCCAAAGAAUAAGCACCGGCUAACUUCGUG
rnacentral:rRNA from 1 species